GCAUGAAUCUCGAUAAUGAAUAUCUCGGCUCUUGCCACAAUGAAGAACGCAGUGAAAUAUGAUACUUAGUGUGAAUUAUAAAAUCUCGUGAAUCAUUGAUUCUUUGAAUGUAAGUUACGCCUUGGGCCUCGGCCAAGGGCACAUCUACUUGGGCGUCGCA
rnacentral:rRNA from 1 species